rnacentral:rRNA from 1 species
CCUACGGGUGGCAGCAGUGAGGAAUAUUGGUCAAUGGGCGGGAGCCUGAACCAGCCAAGUCGCGUGAGGGAAGACGGUCCUAUGGAUUGUCAACCUCUUUAGGCGGGGAGCAAUGCCGGGCACGUGUGCCAGGAGGGAGAGUAUUCGCAGAAUAAGCAUGGGCGAACUCCGUGCCAGCAGCCGCGGGAAGACGGAGGUUGCGAGCGUUAUCCGGAUUUAUGGGGUUUAAAGGGUGCGUAGGCGGAUUUUUAAGUCAGCGGUAAAAUGUCCGGGCUCAACCCGGGCCGGCCGUUGAAACUGGGUAUCUUGAGUGGGCGAGAAGUAUGCGGAAUGCGUGGUGUAGCGGUGAAAUGCAUAGAUAUCACGCAGAACUCCGAUUGCGAAGGCAGCAUACCGGCGCCCGACUGACGCUGAGGCACGAAAGCGUGGGGAUCGAACAGGAUUAGAUACCCUGGUAGUC